GAUGAACGCUGGCGGCGUGCCUAAAACAUGCAAGUCGAGCGAACAGAUGAGGAGCUUGCUCCUCUGACGUUAGCGGCGGACGGGUGAGUAACACGUGGAUAACCUACCUAUAAGACUGGGAUAACUUCGGGAAACCGGAGCUAAUACCGGAUAAUAUAUUGAACCGCAUGGUUCAAUAGUGAAAGACGGUUUUGCUGUCACUUAUAGAUGGAUCCGCGCCGCAUUAGCUAGUUGGUAAGGUAACGGCUUACCAAGGCAACGAUGCGUAGCCGACCUGAGAGGGUGAUCGGCCACACUGGAACUGAGACACGGUCCAGACUCCUACGGGAGGCAGCAGUAGGGAAUCCUCCGCAAUGGGCGAAAGCCUGACGGAGCAACGCCGCGUGAGUGAUGAAGGUCUUCGGAUCGUAAAACUCUGUUAUUAGGGAAGAACAAAUGUGUAAGUAACUAUGCACGUCUUGACGGUACCUAAUCAGAAAGCCACGGCUAACUACGUG
rnacentral:rRNA from 1 species